UCCGAUUUCAGCUAGCUGUAGAUUGGGCA
rnacentral:piRNA from 1 species